rnacentral:snRNA from 1 species
GCGUUUAUUGACUUUAUCAGU